GAGUUGUCUCCCUUUGCUCCCUUUGCUCCCUUAGCUCCCGUAGCUCCUGUUGCUCCGGCCCGAGACUUUCUCGGGCCGCUGGAGGGUGGAGAGCCGCUGGUUUGCAGAGGGCGUGCUGGGGAGCCAGGUCGGGCGGCCGUCGGGGUUUGUCCGGCUGGUGGAGGGACUGUCGGAGGAGACGUACUCCUGCACCGGGUGGUUUGCCUGCCUGGUGAACUGGCCAACCCGAAGGCGGGAACCAGCAGAUACCCCGGUAGCUGAAGAGAGAGGCGAGUCCCGCGAGGAAGGAGGGAGGAGAGAGAGAGGAGCUUUCGGGAACGGACAGAACCAGGCCGCAGGGCUGGGAAGGAUCUCAGCAAGUGGGCUGGAGGGCCUGUGGGGCUGGAAGGCGAUGGCAGGGGGCUAGCGAGCAGGCUGCCGGGGAAGGGGGCCCUCAUCCGCCUGUUGCUUGUAGUCACGAUUGCAACCCGCCUCCGCUCACCGGUAACAAUGGCCACAACGAUGCGGACCCAGAGGCCAUAGAAGGGCCAGUGCAAAGAGAGCAUGAUAGAAUGUGAAGGCAUGGAGUGAUGGCCGCUUCAGGACCCCCCAAAUGGGUCAAUGAACCUCUCUACCACCUGGAACAUUUGUACUGACCCCUGCCACCCCCACCACCAUGCCUGGAACACCAGACGGGGCAGCACUGGGAGACGUCUCCCAGAACCCUCCUCCCAUGAACCCUCCUCCCACACCUGUGAGGAAGCUGCAGAAGGUGACUCAGAGGGGCAGGAAGGGUGAGGAGCACCACAGGAUGGAGAGGGUGCUGGGCCAGCAGGAGUAGAACAGGUGUAUGACAGAGAGAACGCAUGCUUCGCAGCACAAGGAUAUCUGUGUGUUUGAUUCACAGCGCCUAGAACAGAGAGCGGCCCCUCCCAGGUGCUUAAUAUUUACUGAAUGAAGAAAUAAAAGGCUCA